ACAUACUUCUUUAUGUACCCAUAUGAAGAUACAGUGCUAUGGAAUGUAAAGAAGUAUGUAU
rnacentral:pre_miRNA from 1 species